GACGAACGCUGGCGGCGUGCCUAAUACAUGCAAGUAGAACGCUGAAGGAGGAGCUUGCUCUUCUGGAUGAGUUGCGAACGGGUGAGUAACGCGUAGGUAACCUGCCUGGUAGCGGGGGAUAACUAUUGGAAACGAUAGCUAAUACCGCAUAACAGUAGAUGUUGCAUGACAUUUGCUUAAAAGGUGCAAUUGCAUCACUACCAGAUGGACCUGCGUUGUAUUAGCUAGUUGGUGGGGUAACGGCUCACCAAGGCGACGAUACAUAGCCGACCUGAGAGGGUGAUCGGCCACACUGGGACUGAGACACGGCCCAGACUCCUACGGGAGGCAGCAGUAGGGAAUCUUCGGCAAUGGACGGAAGUCUGACCGAGCAACGCCGCGUGAGUGAAGAAGGUUUUCGGAUCGUAAAGCUCUGUUGUAAGAGAAGAACGAGUGUGAGAGUGGAAAGUUCACACUG
rnacentral:rRNA from 1 species